rnacentral:rRNA from 1 species
CUGCGGAAGAUCAUUGUCGAAACCUGCCCAGCAGAAAGACCCGUGAACAUGUUACAACACUUGGGGGGGCGAGGGGUGCCAUGUGCCUCGAGCCCCCCAUGCCGAGUGCGUGUGGCUUUGCCCCACGUCCUAGGCCACUAACCAACCCCGGCGCGGAAUGCGUCAAGGAAACAUAAAUAAACGAGCUUCUACUGCGGCCCCAGACUUGGUGCUUGCCGCAGCAGACGUGUCGUGUUAAGCUAAAGUUUAAAACGACUCUCGGCAACGGAUAUCUCGGCUCUCGCAUCGAUGAAGAACGUAGCGAAAUGCGAUACUUGGUGUGAAUUGCAGAAUCCCGUGAACCAUCGAGUCUUUGAACGCAAGUUGCGCCCGAAGCCAUUCGGCCGAGGGCACGUCUGCCUGGGCGUCACACACCGUUGCCCCCCUAAAUUCCUUUGAUAGGGACUACGGGUGGCGGAUGUUGGCCUCCCGUGGGCCUUGACUCGCGGUUGGUCUAAAAUUGAGUCCUCGGUCGCGGUUGCCGUGGCAAUAGGUGGUCGUCGAUCAUUCGGUGCCCUGUCACGUGCUCUGGACAAAAGCAUCGAGAGACCUUGCAAACAUGACCCCGAUGCACCCCACGUAGGUGCUUACAACGCGACCCCAGGUCAGGCG